CUACCAUCAGUGUCCAAAUUAGAGAUGUCAAUGUGUCGGAUUCGGGGCGGAUUUUCAAUAAUUCGAAUCCGAACCCGACUCCAAACCCGAGAUCCAAACCCGAAUCCGAACCUAAACCUGAUAAAAAAUUCGAAAUCCGAACCCGAACCCGAACCCGAAAAUUCGAACCCGAAACAAUUAUUUCUUUUUUCAAUAUUUCAAAAUAUAUUACAUUAAAUCUAAAUUUUUAAAAUACAAAUUUAAAUAUAACAUCAAAUUUUUAUAUGUAUAUUAUAUAUAGUGCAAAAUAAAUUCAGGUUCAUGUCGGGUUCGGAUCGGGUACAGUCAAAAUCCAUAUCCUAAUCUAUAUUCGUCGGAUUUUUAUUUUUGAUAUCCAUAUCCAAAUUCAUAUCCAUUUAGCAUUGAAUAUAUCCAUUCCAUUCGAGUUCGGGUUCGGAUAAAAUUUUGAGUAUCCGACAUCCCUACUCCAAAUCUCUCCCCAUACUAUUCUUAAAUAUUUAGAUUUCUGGCAAUAUUUCAAAAUUGAUAUAUUUUUUAGCAUAUAAAUUAAACUGCAAAAAUUCUCUUACAAAGUUUGAAUUUAUAUAAACAAUUGUGAAAAUCCUAUUUGAGAACCGUUUGGUAGGUAUUAAGGGAAAUCUAAUGCUAUCAUGUCAAAAAGAAUUGGUUUCUUUAUUUUCCAAUAAAAUCGCAGAAAUAUUAAUACUUUAACUAAACCGUUGAUCUGAAAAGUGUAUUAUUUGUUACGAAAAUAAAUAAUGUAUUUUUCUAUUAUACUUUUGAGCCACACAUACAACACAAAUAUCCUGCAUUUCCAAAACAAAAGUAUUAGGUUGAAGGUCUCUAUGCGAAGAGUUCUAUUGUACAUUUGCUUCUGGUUUUGGCCAAAACAUAAAGUAUAUAUAUGCAGAGUUGCUAAAAGCCUAUUAAGUUUUAUAUACAUAACGUUAUGUUAACAUUUAUAUUCGACAAAACCAAACAUCAAGUAAAGACAAAUAUAAAUAGUAACAUCUUUUAAGGAAAAAAAAAAAGCAAAUAAUCCAUUCAUUUCGUUUGGAGAUAAACUCAACUAAAAAUAUUAUCAAACUAUCAAGUUCUUAACCAACUGUGUAAAGGAGGAAUCCAAUAUCGGAUAAGCGUCACCAAUUUGGACGUCUCAAAGCAUCUAACGUCGAAUGUUUGUUUCAUUUGAAUUACAUUUAAUCGUACUACCGACAACCACGUUUUCAAUAACUAUUUAAACUAUUGCAUGUCAAAAGUAUGUUCCAAAUAACAUCAAUUGCUUAUAUCAUUUUCAACGUGCAUGGAAUUAUGAAUUAUUCGAAUCUCUCUCUCAUUGAUUUCGAGAACUGUAGACGUAUCCAAUGCAUGUUAGGAAGUUUCACUAGAAAGUUUUGAUCCAGCUCAAAUUCACAUGCAUGUGCAUGAGUCAAAAGAUAUAAAAUAUCUAAAAGAAAAUCAAUAAGAUUCAAUCCAAAAGCUUAAAUCCACAACUAACUCAAUAGCUACAGAUGAUUCGGAUUCAUCAAACUAUCAACUUUGAUAUUGAUAAUUAGGUUUUUGUAAAUGUAACUCAAUUAAUUAAUCAUUUAAGUUUAAAUUUACUAUAAAUAAAAGUAAAUCCUAACAUAUAAAGGGAUGCUUGAUGUGGUAAGUUUUAUUUCUUUUUAUGUAUUUAAAUUAAAUAAAAUUCUAAUCAAACUUUAAUGAGAAGUCGAUCUGGAGUCUAAAUAAUAAGUGAAUUGUCACGCCCCAGAAAUGUCUCCAAUUCAAUUAACACUACAACAAAAACGGUCUAUAGCGACACUUUUAAGUGUAGAUACAUGUCAAAAAAGUGCUGCUAGCUAAAAUUACCGACACUUUUAAAAAGUGUUGCUAUAUGUGGGGUCGCUAGGUAUAUAGUGACAGUUAAAGAGUGUCGCUAUAACUUAAAAGAGUGCUGCUAAUUUACCAACAACUUAUUUAAGCAUUUAGCAACCGCCGAAACUCUAUCUCGUUGGCUGCGGUGGCGGAGGAGGAUGACAGGAAUAACUCUUCGUCUAGAAUUUCAGUAGAUUGAGUGAAGAGAGAAGAAAAUAUGGUAAUUGAUUUUUCUUUUUUUCUUUUUUUUCUUUUUUGUUUGUAAUCGGGCCAAAUGGACUGGGUGUGGUGGGUUGAGUAGAGUAAUCUUUUAUUUUUUGUUGGAUUGGGCUUUAUAUUUAGGCAUUAGUAGAUGUGUUUUUAAGUUUUAGCAUAAAUGGGACACUUACUCAAAAGUGUCCCAAACAUGUGUCCCUAUAACCUAAUUCUGUUGUAGUGUAAGGACUGUAGAAAUUAAAAUGCUGAUGCCCUGGAGGCCAAUAGACAGCGACAGAUAGCUAGUUUGAGACUAUAACUGUAUUCCGGAUGCUAUGAGAGUGUUAUCAUAAUCUGUUUGAUCACCAUAUUUAAUUAUAGUUGCUAAGAUUAUAUCAUAAAAAUCCAUCAAUUUCUACAAAAACUUAUAAAAAAUAAUGCAAUUUUUCCUAUUUGUUGAGAUCCAGUAUAUCAUAUGAAUUGUUGCUAGCAUCUUCUUAUAUGUAUUUUAGUAAAAUAUUAUCAUCUUUUUCAAUGAAAAAGUAUCUGAGAUAGGAAGAGAAAUCAGUUUGUCCAAAUUCGAAUAGUGACAUUCAUAUUAUAGUUGGAUUUUACACUUUCGCAGAUUGCUUAAUAAAUUCUCUUCUAUGGCACUCAUGUUCAUAUUGCAGUCAGAUUUUAAGCUUUCGUAGAUUGAUCAAAAUUUUCUCUUCUAUGACACUUUGCGAGAUUUAUUUUAUUCUAUUUAUCAUUCUGAAUAGGGAAAACUCCAAAUACCCCCCUUGUGGUUUCAUUCUUUCUCAAUUUAGUACCAUGUGGUUUAAAGUGUAUCAAAUUAGUAUCCUGUGGUUUUGCACUUUCUCACUUUAGUACCCUGUGGUUUCACAUUUUCUCAAUUUAGUGCCCCUGUGGUUUAAAAACCACAGGGUACUAACCUAAUACAAAAAUAAAACCACAUAGUAUUAACUUGAUAUACUUUAAACCACAGGGUACUAAAGUGAGAAAGUGCGAAACCACAGGGUACUAACUUUAUACACUUUAAACCACAUGGUACUAAAAUGAAAAAGUGCGAAACCACAGAGGUUUUUUUUGAAGUUUUCCCUUCUGAAUAUAUAUAUAUAUAUAUAUAUAUAUAUAUAUAUAUAUAUAUAUANUCAUUGGUGCUUGUAAGUUUUUAGCCCUUGGAUUAAGGAAUGUGCGGUUAUGAUGAUGUGGGCCCCUUAGGGUUGAGUGGGUGGUUGGUUGAAUAGUAUAAUCUAACGGAUGAAAAUGAUCCGAGGCGUAGAUCUAACGGUAAAAAAUUUACAAGCACCAAGUGCUUGGUUCUUUUACAAGCACCAUAGCCGGACUCUAUAUAUAUAUAUAUAUAUAUAAGUUGGAAUACUAUCAAUAACACCAAGCUAUUGGUGCUAUUAGGUUUUCGGCUCUUGAAGGAAAAAAUAUACAGUUAGAAUGAUGUGGGCCCUCUAAGGUUGAGUGAGUGGUUGGUUGAAUAGUAUAAUCUAACGGAUAAAAAUAAUGAGAGGGUUAAAUCUAACGGUGGAAAACUCGAUAGCACCAAAUCCUUAGUGCUAUCGAUAGUACCCCAGCCGGACACUCUCUCUCUCUCUCUCUCUCUCUCUCUCUCUCUAUAUAUAUAUAUAUAGUUUUAUUAUUUUUACAUGCCAAUUGAGAUCUAUCAUAACAAAAUAUGCCCAAGGAUGAAAACAAAAGGUUAAACCUAUUAUGCCUGGUUCAUUAAUAUAUAUCAAUCAUCUUCUUUCUUAACUAAUUAUUCGAUGUUGAAUACCGACCGUCCCUAGAGUAAGUGGCAAAGGGCUUGGUGGUUGGUACCCGAGACUCAAGUUUGAAUCCUACUUGAUUCACAUUUCUAGCUAAGUUUAUUUCUAAAUAAAAUAAACGAAGCGAGUAGCGUGCUACCUAUCUCUCUCAAAAAAUAAUAAUAAUAAUAAUUCGAUGUUGAAUUAUUUACACUAGGCUAGUAUACAUACUAUCGGUAGCACGAAGCCCUCCAUACUACCAAGUUAUUUUUAAUGAUGCGGCUUCCAAAUCGACAGUCGGCUCUAUUAGACUUGAUCUACACUAUUAAAAAUAUUUAGAAAGUAAAUUUAAUAAUUUUUAGACAUCAUUUGGCUAGUGAUCAAAAGGUCUCAAAAUUGACAAUUUUAAUGGUAGAUGUGAUGCAUUUGUGAGUUUAAUGGUAUAAAACAAUCAAAAUCUGAUGAUUUUUUUUUUUUUAGAGAGAGAUAGGUAACACGCUACCCACUUCAUUUAUUUCAUUUAGAAAUAAACUUAGCUGGAAAUGUGAAUCAACUAGGAUUCGAACUUGGGUCUCGGGUACCAACCACCAAGUCCUUUGCCACUUGCUCUAGGGAUGGUCGGUAUCUGAUGAAAUCUUUAUAGAAAAUUUUUUUCACUAUUUAGGGGCUGUUUGGUUGCAUGCAUUUCCAACUGCAUUGCAGUUGGAAAUGCGUAUUCAUCUAUAAUUUUUUUGUUUGGUUUGGUGUAGUUAGGCCCAACUGCUGCAAUUGCAUCUGCAUGAGAAGGUCCAACUGCAGCAGUUGAGCAGGAAUCGGCUUACUCAUUAAAAAUAUAAGCAAAGUGUGAUUUUUUUUUUUCAUACGCUAUUUUUUCUUUUUUCUUUUUUUCUCAAAAAUACGUAUUCAUGAAAUUUGAUAGGAUUUAGUAAUGCCUGUUAGGGUCAAUAAAUUUUUUUCAUAUGCUUCUUAUUUUUCAGUCUGCUAGUUUAAUAGUAUCUUAAUUUUUAUUUUGAUCAAAUUUAUAAUAUAUUUACAUUUAAAAUUUAUUAAAAUUCAUACAUAAUUUUAUAAUAUAUAAAUUAUAUAUAAAUAUAAAAGUCUUAAUUAAUAAUUAAAAUACGAUUACGUUAUGCUCAGAAGAGGUAAUCUCACAUUUCUAUCUAAAAAUUCAUAAAAUUUACAAAUACAAAUCUCAACUGCAGACUACCAAACAGAAGAAAUAUAACUGCAGCAGCUGCAACUGUAUAAAACCAAACAGACUAUGUAUAGUUAUGACUACAGCAUUUAAAACUACAUGUACUUCCAAUUACACUGUUUUUGAAACUACAUCCAACCAAACGGCCCCUUAGAGUAAGAUCAAUAUCUCUAACCAUAAAUUCAAGUCUUUUAUCAUCAUUUUUAUGAGAUUUUUUUUUCAGCCGUUCAUUUUUACACUAUUUGUUUGAUAGAUAAAUGAUGUCGAAAAAUUAUGAAAUUUAGUUUUUAAAUACUUUCAAUAGUAUAGAUCAAGUUUAACGGAGCCUAUCGUCGAAUUGGAAGCUACACCAUUGAAAAUAAUUUGGUCGCAGAGCGUUUCGUGCUACCGAUAAUAUACCAGUCUAACUCUUAUUUACACAAUGAAGUCCUAACAUAUGAUAAUACAGGAACAAUUUCAAAUAUGCACCUCAAAGGUUAUAAAAAAUCAUAUAUAUAUAUAUAUAUAUAUAUAUAUAUAUAUAUAUAUACAUAGAGAGAGAGAGAGAGAGAGAGAGAGAGUCCGGCUACUAUACUAUUGAUAGUACCAAGCCCUUGGUACUAUUGAGUUUUCUACCGUUAGAUCUAUCCUUUGAUCAUUUCCACCCGUUAGAUUAUACUAUUAAACCAACCACCCACUCAACCCUAGGGGACCACUAUUAAUUUAACCGGGGACCACUAUCAUCCUAACCGCACAUCCUUUCAUCCAAUGAGCAACAAUCAAUAGUACCAAAGAUUGUACUAUGAUAGUCAUAGUAGAUCAACUCUAUAUUAUAGUUAUAUACUAUAUAUAUAUAUAUAUAUAUUAGAGAGAGAGCCAGAGUAGAGAGAUGAGAAGCGAGAGAGGAUGGAUGGCAGAGUAUUCCUGGAACGGAACGAGAUGCUAAGUGCUAGUAUGCUUUUGAAGCACGGAGCCUCCGUGCUUUACAAAAAGUUUAGCAUUCGAUGCUUCGACCUUUCGCAUCGACGAUUGGCCCUCCGUUGAAGGGAUCUAGAGUAUUUGAAGUACUACGAAAAUAACAUUCGCGAUUUUCGAUCAUGAUUAUGCGUAGUGAUCGAGGGCUCAAAAUCAUAUAAUUUUAACGCAUGGUGACAGUUUUUGCAGUUAUAACAUGUAAAAUAUCCAAAUCACAUGAAAUUUUGAUAUGAAAACUUCUUUAUACCAUAUAAAACAAAUCAAUAACUUUGAGUUAAAUUUUAAUAUUCGUCAUCAUAUUUGUAAGAUUUUUAUUUCAUCCUUCAUUUGAGCCCCUUCGAUCACUAGGCAAAUGAUAAUCGAAAAAUUCGCCGAAAUUUAAUUUUCUAGAUACUUCAAAUUACUUCUGUAGAUCCAAAGUCUAACGAGCGAUCGUCGAUGUCGAUAAGUCCCAAAAUCGAAAACAAUGUAAGCACGGAGUGCCUCCGUGCCUUGCCAUAGUUACACCCCAAGAACCGCACUCUUAUAUAUAUAUAUAUAUAUAUAAAGUUGGACUGGACUACUAUUAGUAGCAAAAUUCUAUUGUUGCUACCAGGUUUGUAGCCUUUGGAUCAACUCUUUUCGUUAUUUCUAACCAUUGGAUUAAAUACUAUAACCCAGUGGGGACCGCUCAACCCUAGGGGGCUACUCAAAUCUAACCGACUAAUAUCAUCCUAACCUUACAAUUUUUCAUCCAAGGGUUAAAAACUUGAUAGCAAAAAGAACGUUUUACUAUUAAUAGUAUUCCAGCCUAAUUCUAUAUAUAUAUAUAUAUUCAAAAUUAUCAAUACUAUUUUUACCACUAUAUAUUAAUGAAAUAUAUCACGCUGAUUAAAAGUUGUCGGCUUUUUUGCCUUUGUUUACACAUAAUUAUAAAUUACUGUGUGUUAUCAUAUAGGUCUAACAAAUUUAUUUCUCAUCCAAAAUUCACACAAAUUUUUUUUUUUGAGAGAUAGGUAGCACGUUACCCGCUUCAUUUAUUUCAUCUAGAAAUAAACUUCGCUGGAAAUGUGAAUCAACUAAGAUUCGAACUUGGGUCUCGGUUACCAACCACCAAGCUCUUUGCCACUUGCUCUAGAGAUGGUCGGUAAAUUCACACAAUUUUUAUUUAUGAUUUCACGUAUGUGAAUAUCUUUGUGCCUUAAGUUUAUUUGCUUAAUUCUCUAUCAUAAGGCCUCGUGCUGAUUUUAAUUAAUAAUUAAUUACAACUAAAGACAUAUUAUACUUUUGUGAAUCUAUUUUCUGUUGAAACUUUAUUAGAAACUAAGAUUGUACAUUCUGUCAUGAUUUCGAUUUCAAUACCUGGAUUGUAAACAAUGAUCCUUACUCGUGGUUCGUCCUCGCUCGCGAUUUGCAGAGUGGGACAUUUCGAGUCUAAUUUUCUUAUCCCCGAAGAUGUAACCGUCACAGGAAUUAGGAUUGGGGUUAGACCGAAACUUUCAUAUGUUACAUAUUUAAAUAUAACUUAAUGUAAGGAUGUUAAAUCACGUCCGUCCAUUAAAAACGUGUUCAGAUACAUCCCAUUCGUUAGAUCUUCCGUAUCUUUAUAAAUCGACUUAAUUAGACCGAUUGUAUCUUUAUAGAUCACCUUAAAUAAAUCACGUGGGUCACAUCCAAUAUUUUCUACUGUCUAAAUUAGUUUUUUAUAUUUAUUAUCUGUAUAGUUUAGUUUGUUCUAAUUAAUUAAUUUUAAUUUAAUGUA
rnacentral:lncRNA from 1 species